AUUGAAGCUGGCGGCAGGCCUAACACAUGCAAGUCGAAAGAGUGGCGGACGGGUGAGUAAUGUCUGGGAAACUGCCUGAUGGAGGGGGAUAACUACUGGAAACGGUAGCUAAUACCGCAUACCAUCGGAGGUGCCCAGAGGGGAUUAGCUAGAAGGUGGGGUAACGGCUCACCUAGGCGCCGAUCCCUAGCGGGUCUGAGAGGAUGACCAGCACACCUGGAACUGAGACACGUUCCAGACUCCGACGGGAGGCAGCAGUGGGGAAUAUUUCACAAUGGGAGCAAGCCUGAUGCAGCCAUGCCGCGUGUGUGAAGAAGGCCUUCGGGUUGUAAAGCACUUUCAGCGAGGAGGCGUUACUCGCAGAAGAAGCACCGGCUAAAUCCGUGCCAGCAGCCGCGGUAAUAC
rnacentral:rRNA from 1 species